AUUGAACGCUAGCGGGAUGCUUUACACAUGCAAGUCGAACGGCAGCGCGGACUUCGGUCUGGCGGCGAGUGGCGAACGGGAGAGUAAUGUAACGGAACGUGCCCAGUAGCGGGGGAUAACUACGCGAAAGCGUAGCUAAUACCGCAUACGCCCUACGGGGGAAAGCAGGGGAUCGUAAGACCUUGCACUAUUGGAGCGGCCGAUAUCGGAUUAGCUAGUUUGUGAGGUAACGGCUCACCAAGGCGACGAUCCGUAGCUGGUUUGAGAGGACGACCAGCCACACUGGGACUGAGACACGGCCCAGACUCCUACGGGAGGCAGCAGUGGGGAAUUUUGGACAAUGGGGGCAACCCUGAUCCAGCCAUCCCGCGUGUGCGAUGAAGGCCUUCGGGUUGUAAAGCACUUUUGGCAGGAAAGAAACGUCGCGGGCUAAUACCCCGUGGAACUGACGGUACCUGCAGAAUAAGCACCGGCUAACUACGUG
rnacentral:rRNA from 1 species